CUAAUCAUGGAAGUCGAGCGGUGAAGGGAGCUUGCUCCUGGAUUCAGCGGCGGACGGGUGAGUAAUGCCUAGGAAUCUGCCUGGUAGUGGGGGAUAACGUCCGGAAACGGGCGCUAAUACCGCAUACGUCCUGAGGGAGAAAGUGGGGGAUCUUCGGACCUCACGCUAUCAGAUGAGCCUAGGUCGGAUUACCUAGUUGGUGGGGUAAAGGCCUACCAAGGCGACGAUCCGUAACUGGUCUGAGAGGAUGAUCAGGCACACUGGAACUGACACACGGUCCAUACUCCUACGGGAGGAAUCAGUGGGGAAUAUUGGACAAUGGGCGAAAGCCUGAUCCAGCCAUGCCGCGUGUGUGAAGAAGGUCUUCGGAUUGUAAAGCACUUUAAGUUGGGAGGAAGGGCAGUAAGUUAAUACCUUGCUGUUUUGACGUUACCAACAGAAUAAGCACCGGCUAACUUCGUGCCAGCAGCCGCGGUAAUACGAAGGGGUGCAAGCGUUAAUCGGAAUUACUGGGCGUAAAGCGCGCGUAGGUGGUUUCACCAAGUCUGGAUGUGAAAUCCCCCGGGCUCAACCUGGGAACUGCAUCCAAAACUACUGAGCUAGAGUACGGUAGAGGGUGGUGGAAUUUCCUGUGUAGCGGUGAAAUGCGUAGAUAUAGGAAGGAACACCAGUGGCGAAGGCGACCACCUGGACUGAUACUGACACUGAGGUGCGAAAGCGUGGGGGAGCAAACAGGAUUAGAUACCCUGGGAGUCCACGCCGUAAACGAUGUCGACUAGCCGUUGGGAUCCUUGAGAUCUUAGUGGCGCAGCUAACGCGAUAAGUCGACCGCCUGGGGAGUACGGCCGCAAGGUUAAAACUCAAAUGAAUUGACGGGGGCCCGCACAAGCGGUGGAGCAU
rnacentral:rRNA from 1 species